rnacentral:rRNA from 1 species
UGGGGAAUAUUGCACAAUGGGGGAAACCCUGAUGCAGCGACGCCGCGUGAACGAAGAAGGUAUUCGUAUCGUAAAGUUCUGUCCUAUGGGAAGAUAAUGACAGUACCAUAGAAGAAAGCUCCGGCUAAAUACGUGCCAGCAGCCGCGGUAAUACGUAUGGAGCGAGCGUUGUCCGGAAUUUUUGGGCGUAAAGGGUACGCAGGCGGUUUAAUAAGUCGAAUGUUAAAGAUCGGGGCUCAACCACGCUAAGCAUUGGAAACUGAUAAACUUGAGUAGUGGAGAAGAAAGUGGAAUUCCUAGUGUAGUGGUGAAAUACGUAGUUAUUAGGAGGAAUACCAGUAGCGAAGGCGACUUUCUGGACACAAACUGACGCUGAGGUACGAAAGCGUGGGGAGCAAACAGG